rnacentral:pre_miRNA from 2 species
GAUUUCAACUGAAAAAGUCAUCAACAACAAAGUUGUAUAACUCAUCAAGAUCUAUAAAUUUUAUUAUAAUCAUUUCUUCAUCCAACAAAGUUAUUUGUAAGAUUGUUCACAAAAUAAACAUCUCUUAUAUAGUUUUAUAACUUUGUAAGAUUGUUCACAAAAUAAACAUCUCUUAUAUAGUUUUUAUAAAACUAUAUAAGAGAUGUACAUUUUGUGAACAAUCUUAAAAAUAACUUUGUGGGAUGAAGAAAUGAUUAAAAUAAAAUUUAUAGAUCUUGAUGAGUUAUACAAUUUGUUGUUGAUGACUUUUUCAGUUGAAAUC